rnacentral:rRNA from 1 species
CUACGGGGUGCUGCAGUGAGGAAUAUUGCACAAUGGGGGGAACCUUGAUGCAGCAACGCCGCGUGGAGGAUGACGCAUUUCGGUGUGUAAACUCCUUUUAUAUGUCAAGAAAAUGACGGUAGCAUAUGAAUAAGCACCGGCUAACUCCGUGCCAGCAGCCGCGGUAAUACGGAGGGUGCAAGCGUUACUCGGAAUCACUGGGCGUAAAGGACGCGUAGGCGGGUUGGAAAGUCAGGUGUGAAAUCCUACAGCUUAACUGUAGAACUGCACUUGAAACUUCUAAUCUAGAGGAUGGGAGGGGGAGAUGGAAUUAGUGGUGUAGGGGUAAAAUCCGUAGAUAUCACUAGGAAUACCUAAAGCGAAGGCGAUCUCCUGGAACAUUACUGACGCUAAGGCGUGAAAGCGUGGGGAGCAAACAGGAUUAGAUACCCGGGUAGUC